CGGGGUAUAGCUCAGUGGUAGAGUGUGUGCUUAGCAUGCAUAAGGUCCUGGGUUCAAUCCCUAGUACCGCCA
rnacentral:tRNA from 1 species